rnacentral:rRNA from 1 species
GUGGUGUGACUGCGUACCUUUUGUAUAAUGGGUCAGCGACUUAUAUUCUGUAGCAAGGUUAACCGUAUAGGGGAGCCGAAGGGAAACCGAGUCUUAACUGGGCGUUAAGUUGCAGGGUAUAGACCCGAAACCCGGUGAUCUAGCCAUGGGCAGGUUGAAGGUUGGGUAACACUAACUGGAGGACCGAACCGACUAAUGUUGAAAAAUUAGCGGAUGACUUGUGGCUGGGGGUGAAAGGCCAAUCAAACCGGGAGAUAGCUGGUUCUCCCCGAAAGCUAUUUAGGUAGCGCCUCGUGAACUCAUCUUCGGGGGUAGAGCACUGUUUCGGCUAGGGGGCCAUCCCGGCUUACCAACCCGAUGCAAACUACGAAUACCGAAGAAUGUUAUCACGGGAGACACACGGCGGGUGCUAACGUCCGUCGUGAAGAGGGAAACAACCCAGACCGCCAGCUAAGGUCCCAAAGUCAUGGUUAAGUGGGAAACGAUGUGGGAAGGCACAGACAGCCAGGAUGUUGGCUUAGAAGCAGCCAUCAUUUAAAGAAAGCGUAAUAGCUCACUGGUCGAGUCGGCCUGCGCGGAAGAUGUAACGGGGCUAAACCAUGCACCGAAGCUGCGGCAGCGACGCUUAGGCGUUGUUGGGUAGGGGAGCGUUCUGUAAGCCGUUGAAGGUGUGCUGUGAGGCAUGCUGGAGGUAUCAGAAGUGCGAAUGCUGACAUAAGUAACGAUAAAGCGGGUGAAAAGCCCGCUCGCCGGAAGACCAAGGGUUCCUGUCCAACGUUAAUCGGGGCAGGGUGAGUCGACCCCUAAGGCGAGGCCGAAAGGCGUAGUCGAUGGGAAACAGGUUAAUAUUCCUGUACUUGGUGUUACUGCGAAGGGGGGACGGAGAAGGCUAUGUUAGCCGGGCGACGGUUGUCCCGGUUUAAGCAUGUAGGCGGAGGUUCCAGGUAAAUCCGGUACCUUUUAACGCUGAGGUGUGAUGACGAGGCACUACGGUGCUGAAGUAACAAAUGCCCUGCUUCCAGGAAAAGCCUCUAAGCAUCAGGUAACAUCAAAUCGUACCCCAAACCGACACAGGUGGUCAGGUAGAGAAUACCAAGGCGCUUGAGAGAACUCGGGUGAAGGAACUAGGCAAAAUGGUGCCGUAACUUCGGGAGAAGGCACGCUGAUAUGUAGGUGAAGCCCCUGCGGGUGGAGCUGAAAUCAGUCGAAGAUACCAGCUGGCUGCAACUGUUUAUUAAAAACACAGCACUGUGCAAACACGAAAGUGGACGUAUACGGUGUGACGCCUGCCCGGUGCCGGAAGGUUAAUUGAUGGGGUUAGCGGUAACGCGAAGCUCUUGAUCGAAGCCCCGGUAAACGGCGGCCGUAACUAUAACGGUCCUAAGGUAGCGAAAUUCCUUGUCGGGUAAGUUCCGACCUGCACGAAUGGCGUAAUGAUGGCCAGGCUGUCUCCACCCGAGACUCAGUGAAAUUGAACUCGCUGUGAAGAUGCAGUGUACCCGCGGCAAGACGGAAAGACCCCGUGAACCUUUACUAUAGCUUGACACUGAACACUGGUCCUUGAUGUGUAGGAUAGGUGGGAGGCUUUGAAGCGUGGACGCCAGUCUGCGUGGAGCCAACCUUGAAAUACCACCCUUUAAUGGCUGGUGUUCUAACGUAGACCCGUGAUCCGGGUUGCGGACAGUGUCUGGUGGGUAGUUUGACUGGGGCGGUCUCCUCCCAAAGAGUAACGGAGGAGCACGAAGGUUAGCUAAUCCUGGUCGGACAUCAGGAGGUUAGUGCAAUGGCAUAAGCUAGCUUGACUGCGAGAGUGACGGCUCGAGCAGGUGCGAAAGCAGGUCAUAGUGAUCCGGUGGUUCUGAAUGGAAGGGCCAUCGCUCAACGGAUAAAAGGUACUCCGGGGAUAACAGGCUGAUACCGCCCAAGAGUUCAUAUCGACGGCGGUGUUUGGCACCUCGAUGUCGGCUCAUCACAUCCUGGGGCUGAAGUAGGUCCCAAGGGUAUGGCUGUUCGCCAUUUAAAGUGGUACGCGAGCUGGGUUUAGAACGUCGUGAGACAGUUCGGUCCCUAUCUGCCGUGGGCGCUGGAGAAUUGAGGGGGGCUGCUCCUAGUACGAGAGGACCGGAGUGGACGCAUCACUGGUGUUCGGGUUGUCAUGCCAAUGGCACUGCCCGGUAGCUAAAUGCGGAAAAGAUAAGUGCUGAAAGCAUCUAAGCACGAAACUUGCCCCGAGAUGAGUUCUCCCUGACCCUUUAAGGGUCCUGAAGGAACGUUGAAGACUACGACGUUGAUAGGUCGGGUGUGUAAGCGCAGCGAUGCGUUGAGCUAACCGAUACUAAUGAACCGUGAGGCUUAACCUU